GGUAAUAUAGCUCAGUGGUAGAGCACAUGCUUAGCAUGUGCAAAGCUUUGUGUUCCAUUCCCAGCACUACCA
rnacentral:tRNA from 1 species